GACGAACGCUGGCGGCGCGCUUAACACAUGCAAGUCGAACGGAAAGGCCUGCUUUCCCUUGUGGAUUGCGGGUACUCGAGUGGCGAACGGGUGAGUAACACGUGAGUGAUCUGCCCCCAACUUGGGUAUAAGCCUGGGAAACUGGGUCUAAUUCCCGAUAGGACUGCAGGGUGGUGCCUGUGGUGGAAAACGAUUUUCUAGUGGUUGGGGAUGAGCUCGCGGCCUAUCAGCUUGUUGGUGGGGUAAUGGCCUACCAAGGCGGCGACGGGUAGCCGGCCUGAGAGGGUGGACGGCCACAUUGGGACUGAGAUACGGCCCAGACGCCUACGGGAGGCAGCAGUGGGGAAUAUUGCACAAUGGGCGGAAGCCUGAUGCAGCGACGCCGCGUGGGGGAUGACGGCCUUCGGGUUGUAAACUCCUUUCGACCGCGAGGAAGCCACCUGGUUGGAAGGGUGGUGACGGUAGUGGUAGAGGAAGCACCGGCUAACUACGUG
rnacentral:rRNA from 1 species